GGUUGCUUUUCAUGGCCUUUUUUUUUUCAAGCGGCGGCGGCGGAGAUGGCAAACGUUACUGCUCGUCCACAACUAAACAAUGAGCGAAUCCAGUCAAGCCUGAGUCGUUUGUCAACUCUUUGGCUGUCAAAAGACCACAUGGCCAUGCGUCAGGUGGCAACAGAUGGCACUGGAUCUGGAAAGGAGCCUUUCGACGAAAUUGAGCGAUUGGGGACGGCUUUGUCCACCCAACAGAGGGACUAUUUCAGCAGCAAUAUAAAUCCAGUCCUGCGGGGGAGAAAUCUCAUGCGAUCACAUGUGGCCCCACAAAAACAAAGAAGAUCAGACAUGUCACUUGCGGCCAUGUGUUGAGCGUUUCCCCGAGAGGACCGACAACAUCCCGUGUGGUCAAGAAAAGACGUUUCUUGGAUGAUCUGUUCUGCCACUCGGAGAACGCUACCUUUUUUCCUCAAGACGCAUCAGAGUGACAGGCUCGUGACAGUGGGGAUCUCCAAAGGUGGCGUAUCAAGGCGGGAGCCACAUGAAAAUAUACGUAAGCCAAGAUCCCGACUUUGGAGGAGGCUUGAGGGGCGGCUGGAGGCCAAACCCAAACAAACUUUCAUGUUGCCGUGACAGGAUGGCAGACAGACAGCUUGGGGAAGACGGCAGGACGUCAACAUGUCUGCCAGUGGGUGGAAAAUGUUGAUUCAUAAGGGGAACACCCCCCGCCCCCAAAAAAAAAACUAUUCUGAUUCAUUCGAUUGGACAAAAGUAUUUGGACAUACUGAGGAAGUCAAAUGUGAAAUUGUUCCUUCCCACUUUUCAAGUCAAAUCUAUCAAUGUUUUGUGUCACCUGGACCAUUUUUAGCACUAUUUUUUAUGAAAAUAGAGCAAUCAUGGCAAAAUAUUUAA